rnacentral:lncRNA from 1 species
AUGUGCUCUGUCCUCGGAUGUUAUUCAAACCGCGUUCCGCGGUUCAAGCUACCGGAAGACCCAGACAUGAGAUUGGAGUGGGUUCAGUUCCUCGCUGUGGUCAAUAAACAGUGUUUUAAAGAAUCUACCUGGAGAGACAUUUCAAUCUGUUGCGACCACUUUGAAAGGGACUGCUUUGAAAACCCAAACCAUUCGCCACCAACGUUAAAGCCAGGUGCAGUUCCAUCACUGUGUUUGCAUUCCGAAGAAUCUGAGCCAAGUGAUAAGGAAAACCAUGAGUUGUCUGUGGAAACCAAAGGUGGAUUUCAGCAGCCUGGUUCCUGCAAUUCACAUUCAGAAGGCGCCUGUGGAAUCCCUGUCCCAAGCGAUGGGCCAACUACAACUUUAGCAGUUUCACCUGCACAUCAGAAAUACAUGCAUUUUGAUUUGAUCACAAAGAAGUAAGUCUUGCAUUAAAAAAUAAAUUCAUUCGAUUGAUUUCUGUCCCUACAUUUUGACAUCAAGAUGGGGGUUUUAUUAUUCCGUUGCAACUGUUUUUAGGGCUGCGCUUGUGAAGACAAAAGGGAAGUUUGUUGUUAAUGAGAAAUGCCUCCUGCAGUUGUUUCGCUCCAAGUGCCCUUUAUGUGGCUCUAACCUAAAAAUAGAGAGGUCCACCAAAGGGACGCUCGUCACCGUGACCCGGCAGUGUCUCCAAUGUGAGUACAGGAAGAAGUGGGAAAGUCAAGCCAGUCUCAAAAGGCCACCAACGGAGGAUCAGUACCUGACUGUAGGCAUAAGUCCACAGCUCCAACAGGUGUGCUUGUUUCCUUCAGCAACUUCUUAUAACACAUUUCUUUUUACAAGACACUAAAGAUACAGUAUCAUUUAGAAAGUGCACACUAGCCUUUGUGCCAAUGCUAACUGCAAUGUGACACCUUUUUAAAAAAAAAAAAAACAUUUUUAAUUAACAUUAUUAAUUAAUGGUUCUUUAUCACAGGCAGCAGCCAGUAUAAACACCCACACUGUGGUACCUGAAAUCCCACAGACUGUUGCUGUUACCGAAGAGAGGGAUCAUACAGACGACUCUGAGAGAUUAAGUGAAAAGUUUGACAUUUCAGAUAAACACCUGUCGCUGGACGAUGAGAUUCUUGAGGCUGGAACGCUUCUUGAAAGUGAAGGAGAUGAGAAUGACAGUCCUCUCUCAGACCCUGCACGGCAAC